GGAGCAGAGGGCGACGGCCCAGCCGCGGCCCGCGCCCGGGGAAGGGGCGGGGGUCGCCCAGGGGGAUGAGGCUGGCGGAGGAGGCGCCCGGAAAGCACGUGAGCCCCUAAUCAAGUAACUUUAUAACCAGGGCAGAAGACAGACCUCGGAAGUGCCCCCUCCUCUCUUGAAGUGCAUUCAAAAUUUUUACUCUUGAAUAUAAACAUGAGCAACUUUUUCCAGAACGCAUCUCCUCGGGCAAGAGAAACAAAAGCAAAAAUGAACA